GCCUCAGUGAAACUGUCAGUACCAUGCACUAAAUACAAGCCGUCAGGCGAGCAAGGACGUUUCGGCUUCGAAGCAAAAGUAAACAAAAUUUCUAACAAGCUUACCACAUUUCGAUAAACAUCCUUAUCAGUUGGUACAGGUCCUCGGAAUCUGCUCAGAUCAAAAGACUUUUCAAUUCCAAGUAAAAAGCCCUCGCACGCUUGCAUCGCGCACAAAAUUAAAACGAAAUUUCUGAACCGCAUAUUUGGUUGUCGAACUCUUGAAUAUUCGCCGACAAUAAUAAAGUUGUGCAAUACGGGCUUUGAAUC